AAUAUUGGACAAUGGGGGCAACCCUGAUCCAGCCAUGCCGCGUGUUUUAAGAAGGUCUUCGGAUUGUAAAGCACAUUACGUAGGGAGGAAGGGCUUUAGGUUAAUACUCUCAAGCAUUGACGCUACCAACAGAACAAGCACUGGCUAACUCUGUGCCUACAACCGCGGUAAUACAGUGGGUUCAAGCGUUAAUCGGAAUUACCGGGCGUAACGCGCGCGUAGGUAGUACAGUAAGAUGGGUGUGAAAUCCCCGGGCUUAACCUGGGAAGUGCUUUCAUAACUGCUGAGCUAGAGUACGGUAGAAGGUAGUGGAAUUUCAUGUGUAGCGGUGAAAUGCGUAGAUAUAGGAAGGAACACCAGUAGCGAAGGCGACUACCUGGACUGAUACUGACACUGAGGUGCGAAAGCGUGGAGAGCAAA
rnacentral:rRNA from 1 species